rnacentral:rRNA from 1 species
AUGGAUGGCUUUUGCAAACCCGACAUGCGGCGAUGUGGUUCAUGCCAACAACAAAUAUGCACAACUUGUUUCGUGCUGAUAUCUAGACUGAGCCAUCCGGUGCUGCCGGCUGGCGUCAAGUUCGAUCCCACGGAUCAGGAGCUGAUAGAGCACCUUGAGGCCAAAGUGAGUGCUGACAGCGCGAGAUUUCAGUCUCUCAUCGAUUUGUUCAUACCAACCAUCGACAGCGAGCACGACAUAUGCUACACCCAACCUGAGAAACUUCCAGGUAUCACACUGAGUGGCCUAAGGAAGCAUUUCUUCCAGCGCAAUUCCAGGGCGUUCAAAAGGGGCAUGUGGAUGCGUCGCAAGAUACAGUCGGAGUGCGGCAUGCACGUGAUGUGGCACAAGACCGGUAAUACCUUGCCGGUGAUGGUCAACGGCCGGCAGACGGACAGCUAA